AUUGAACGCUGGCGGCAUGCCUUACACAUGCAAGUCGAACGGCAGCACGGGAGCAAUCCUGGUGGCGAGUGGCGAACGGGUGAGUAAUAUAUCGGAACGUGCCCAGUCGUGGGGGAUAACGUAGCGAAAGCUACGCUAAUACCGCAUACGAUCUAUGGAUGAAAGCGGGGGAUCGCAAGACCUCGCGCGAUUGGAGCGGCCGAUAUCAGAUUAGGUAGUUGGUGAGGUAAAGGCUCGCCAAGCCGACGAUCUGUAGCUGGUCUGAGAGGACGACC
rnacentral:rRNA from 1 species